rnacentral:rRNA from 1 species
GACGAACGCUGGCGGCGUGCUUAACACAUGCAAGUCGAACGGUGAUGCUCCAGCUUGCUGGAGUGGAUCAGUGGCGAACGGGUGAGUAACACGUGAGCAACCUGCCCCAGACUCUGGAAUAAGCGCUGGAAACGGCGUCUAAUACUGGAUACGAAACUGGCCCGCAUGGGCAUGGUUUGGAAAGUUUUUCGGUUUGGGAUGGGCUCGCGGCCUAUCAGCUUGUUGGUGAGGUAAUGGCUCACCAAGGCGACGACGGGUAGCCGGCCUGAGAGGGCGACCGGCCACACUGGGACUGAGACACGGCCCAGACUCCUACGGGAGGCAGCAGUGGGGAAUAUUGCACAAUGGGCGAAAGCCUGAUGCAGCGACGCCGCGUGAGGGAUGACGGCCUUCGGGUUGUAAACCUCUUUCAGCGGGGAAGAAGCGAAAGUGACGGUACCUGCAGAAGAAGCACCGGCUAACUACGUG